UUGACAGUAGCAAACAAAUGUUGAGCACCAAAGGGAGACUUUAACAAAUACAUGAUAUGCCAAUGGUUAAAUGAAUGAUUUUUGUUUUCUUUCUUUUUUUAAUUUUUUUGCAUGUGGUUACAAUCAAGAUUUUUAAAUUCCGUGGGAUGGGGCUAUCCUGCUUUGCCCAUGGAUUGCGAUACUUGAGACCAAAGAUGUCCUAAGAUGUGUUGAUCGGAAUGUUGGGAUAAUGGUG
rnacentral:lncRNA from 1 species